UAAGUAAGUGGUGGAAAUUAAACCAAAUGGGAUAUCUUUAGUAAUUGCGAAUGAACAAGGAUAUGCUUAGCUUGACAAAUGGAGCUAUUGGCUUUGAAUUGUAUUGUGGAAAUGUAUUACCAACAGAGGUGCAGGUGCCAGCCUAUUGAAAUAAAGCGUCAAAGAGGGUGAGAAUCCUGUUUGUCAUGUGCAGCCCUUUGUGCACGGUGUAUAUUUGCUGAGUCACACUCCUUGGCAUUGGAAUGCAAAGUGGGUGGUAAGUUUCAUGUAAAGGUAAACAUGCAAUUGAGACUGAUAGCACACAAGUACCAUGAGGGAAAUAUGAAAAGGACUUUGAAAAGAGAAUUAAAUGAGUUUGUAUUUGCUGAACACAAAGUAAACAGACUUGAUUUGCUUGGUGGGAGUGUUGCACUUGCUUGACAAGAGCUUUGGGCUGUGGGUGUAAUGAUUCUUUCUUUGCAUGCCGGUUUCUAUUUGUACAUCUGAUUACCUUUGCACAUGAAUGAUAAGUCUCCUGUGGGGGGUGGAUUGCAUGUGCAUGUAAUGAUUUGUGUUUUGAUAAAUGUGUCUGGUGUAUGUGUGUGUUCCUGUGCUUGGGGAUGCUUCCUUCCUUGGACUUACAAGCCCUGACACACACAUGCUGGCAAAAUGCUUCUGCUUGACCCG
rnacentral:rRNA from 1 species